GAUGUUAACAUGCCUAUCUGAAAUAACAGCUACAUGUAAAUACAUUUCAUUUAUAAGCGCUUUUCUGAAUACUCAAAAAAGAAAAACUUGUACUGACUUAUUAUACUGGGUUUUUAUAAAUGUGAUUCAGUUCAGUGUUUUCUUCAGCAUUUUAGUAAGACUUUGGUGUGAAACAUGAACUACUAUGUUUAGCACAACAGACAGAGAAUGCAUAACACUGUCAUCGGUUUCACAACUCACACUUCCUGUAGGCAAGAGGCAAGAAUCAGUCAACAUUUUAACACUUCAGUGCCCCUAGUUCCUGCUAAAGAGACAUCCUGCCACAUAGGCAACAACAUAUUAUCCUACAACUAACUAACUUUUAAUACAUCCUAGAACGUCAAAGCUAAUGAGUUACGGAGGUUAUCUGUGUAAAAAUAUUGAUACAAAGAACCAUCAACCUGCCAGGAGGGUGAAGACAACAAUGACAAUCAAUUUCGUAAGCCUUAUUUUCAUAGGGUUGUUACCACUGACAGCAAGGUGCAGAGUGACUGCACCCCAGAAUCACAACUUUACUUAUGUGAUGACAGGUGAAGCAGGGAAUAAGUUCAGUCACGACCAGACGACAGCACAGGAUGUAUCCAGCUCAAGUCCACUCUUAGAGGACUCAAGUCAUACCACCAGAAAGUCUGUCAUAGCUGAUGUAAAUCCAACAGAGGAAAAAAUGGCAAAACCCAGCACUAGACCUUCACUGCAAAUGACUAUUCAAACAGCAGAAACCUCUACCAAUUCCACAUCAUCAUCAACAUCAUCAUUUCAGUUAAACAGCUCAACAGUAGAAAUUAAGUCCACGACAGAAGACGCAGUAAAGACACUGACCUCCCAAUUCACUAGUGCUAAAUCUAUCCAUCCAAUCACAUCUACAAGUACAAGUUCAAUCACUGGUAAUGAUUUUAUGUGGUCCACCACUUUACCGGCUAUGACAAAGACACCAUUCAUCUACACCACCGUGGCAAAGAAAGAAAAAGAACAAAAUCAAACAGAAAAAAAGUCUAAAAAUGGAACAAACCACAGUAAAGCCGUGGCAGGGCUAAUAGGUGGAGCCCUGGUAUUAAUGAUGGUAGGAUUCCUGGUUAUUUAUAUAAAGAAACAGAAGCUUCAGAGGCAGCAGAUAACAUUCCGGUCCUUCACCAUUUCUAGAGGGUGGAGCUGACAAUGGCCAGGUAACACUGAGGUCAUCUAACCGGAUUUCUCUCUCCAGCUUCCUGCCUCAGAGACUGUCCAAAAGGUUGUCCUUGCUUCCAGAAACAGAUGAGGAGUUACAAGACAUGACACUGGGCACUACAUUUGGAGAUAAACAACAGGAGAGAAUAUUUCAAGGAGUGGAGGAAAAUGAUGGGAAAAAAGCAAUGGAACUGAUGCAGUUGUUCCAGAAGUGAAAAGCACAGGAAACGCUCCAGAAACUCUUAAGAAUUCUGUUUAAGUGUCCUCUUCACAAGCAAAUGACCCGCUGUCCAAGAAUAGCAAGUCAGAGGUCACAAACCUCAGUGAAGAGCAUCCUACAAAUCCCUCCCCCUACUCUAUCUGGAACUGUGGAAAAAUGCUUUGAUACAUGCAAAUGAUGGCCCGAAUCCUUAACAUUUUGAUUUUUAUUGGUUCCUAGGAAGCAACAACUGUGACCGAGAAAACAGGAAACUGAUUAACAUGAUAAGUUCUCUAAUGCAACAUUCAAAAAGUGAUAUAUUACAGCAGUGCAAUAAUGUUCAUACAGUAGAUCACAAUAAAAAAAUGUUUUUAAUUAUAUUAACAGUCAAAAAUAGAAUAUCUGCUAAACACAAACCUUUGCAUUUUCAACAUCUUGGCUGGCAUGCAAUGAUGAAAAAAGGGCUGCCAUAUGUUUCAUCUGACAGAAGUUAGAAUCAGUCCACUUGAUUGCACAUAUUUUAUUUAUUGAAUUACUAUCUGCAGAGUAAUUUCUCAUGUACAGUUGGCCAGAAAGAAGGUUUAAUAUGCUAUGCACUAAUUACAUGUCUUUUAAUUUGUUUUCCUGAAUAUCUGACUUUCAGAUUCAUUGGUUAGUGAUUAUACUGUCUACUACUUUCAAGAUUUUUUGUUUCUCUCAUGCAACAUACUUGUUUGGUCACUUUCUUUCUCUGCAAGUUGAAAAUAAUCCUGAUCUUGCAACAUUAAAAUAUAUCUGUAUAUUUCUAA